UAGUGGCGGACGGGUGAGUAACGCGUGAGUAACCUGCCUUUCAGAGGGGAAUAACGUUCUGAAAAGAACGCUAAUACCGCAUAACGUACAGUUACCGCAUGGUAGCAGUACCAAAGGAGCAAUCCGCUGAAAGAUGGACUCGCGUCCGAUUAGCUAGUUGGUGGGGUAAAGGCCUACCAAGGCGACGAUCGGUGGCCGGACUGAGAGGUUGAACGGCCACAUUGGGACUGAGACACGGCCCAG
rnacentral:rRNA from 1 species